ACGGGAGGCAGCAGUGGGGAAUAUUGCACAAUGGGGGAAACCCUGAUGCAGCGACGCCGCGUGGGUGAUGAAGUAUUUCGGUACGUAAAACCCUAUCAGCAGGGAAGAUAAUGACGGUACCUGACUAAGAAGCUCCGGCUAAAUACGUGCCAGCAGCCGCGGUAAUACGUAUGGAGCAAGCGUUAUCCGGAUUUACUGGGUGUAAAGGGAGCGCAGGCGGUUUUGUAAGUUGGGUGUGAAAACCCGGGGCUCAACCCCGGGACUGCACCCAAAACUGCAGGACUAGAGUGUCGGAGGGGCAAGCGGAAUUCCUAGUGUAGCGGUGAAAUGCGUAGAUAUUAGGAGGAACACCGGUGGCGAAGGCGGCUUGCUGGACGAUAACUGACGCUGAGGCUCGAAAGCGUGGGGAGCAAACAGGAUUAGAUACCCUGGUA
rnacentral:rRNA from 1 species